rnacentral:lncRNA from 1 species
CCAUUCCUUCUAGACCCUGAGUCUUGUAGCCCUGAGCUAUCUUUUUUCCCUUAGGCCCUGAGCCCGCUAGCCCUGAGCUAUCAUUUCCUAUAGACCCAGAGUCUUUCCAGCUCUUAGCUGAGCUUUCAUCACUUGGUCGCCCAUGAGUGGUUUGACCUGGAGUUUGCGUAUCGCAUUCUCCUUCUAGCCGAUCAGUCAU